AAUGCUAAAAUGCAAUCUUAAAGGCUGAAAUUCAGUAUCUCAGUUUUCUGCAAUAAAAAAAAGUAGGUCACCGUGGUUAUUUGUCCGCUAUGGCGGCUUUUUUGGUUGAUAUAGGCCAUAUAGAUGGUGACGUCAUGGUAACAUGAAGAGUAGCGAAUUAAAAAUUACUUUUUUAUAUAAGAUGAAACAAUGGCUUGUGCAAAAACUUAAGUUUUUUUAGCACUGAUAUAUAUUGGAAACUGAAUGGAGCCUCCUUAAAGAG